CUUAAGUUGUAGCCAAAUGAGGGAGAAAUCGUUAGAAUCUUUAAAUACUUAGAGGGCACGUAGAGGUGAUGGCGCGGCCAAGCUGGAACUCAUUAAUCACCUUAAGAAGAUGUCAUGGCUUCAGAUGCGUGAAAGGCUUGUGUAUCGCUGUAGCAGCCACUGUACUUAUCAAUUGGAUGUUUCUAGGCCAAUCAGGGAAAGCAAAACCAGGGAUAGCUCAACUCAAAAAAAUGAUGAUAAACGUAGAGUACGAUGGGAGCGCACAAUCGGGAAAAUUAAAUAUGGAUAGAACUAAUUUAAAA